CGUGCCCAAAAGUGGUGGACCACAGGUACUAUUUGGGUUAUUUUCGAAUUACUUUAACGGGUUUUCGGACUUUCGAUGUUUUCCGUCUGUGUCCCGAUUUUUCUACAUUAUUUUGUCCCCUAGUGGUGUUGGGCUUGGGGGCUUUCCGGUAAAAUCACCUCCCCUUUACACAGUGAUUCACACAAAUUCUGCCAGAAAUUACGUUUGCUCUCUCUCUCUCUCUCUCUCUCUCUCUCUCUCUCUCUAACUGGGGUUAACUGGUGAACGAUGAGUGAGAGAGCGACGAAGAAAACGAAAUCGCGAAGACGGAGCAUCGUCAUAGAUGAUCGAUGAGAUCUACUCCAACGGUGUGACGAAUGCCAGCGUCGCAGGCCGCUCAUCAGAGAGAGACGGUGGUGGCGGUGGCGAUCGGUGGUGGACUUGAUGGUGGUGUGGCCGGAGAUGGCGAUGAAGGGGAUAGAGAUAGGUUGCAGAAAUCUGAGGAGGAGGAGGAAGCCCUAAGGGUUGGGUGUGGUUCCGUCCUUCUCCCUUCCUUUCUGAAAUACAAGUGAAGGACGACGAAGAAGAAGGCCUGAUGAUGGAAGCCAUCAAAACAGAGGGCAUUUUACCCAUUGUGCACCCUCAUAUUUUUAGCGAAAAUCAUAGGAGAAGCCGGAACAAGCGUACAGGUGCUUUCGGUGGCAGUUUAUAAUCACUAUAAGAGGAUCUCUAAUGACUCUUCAUAAAAGUGGAGUUGAACCUAGAGGAUUUAUGUCCGCUCCUUCAAUAGCGCUGGCAAUUGGUGCAAAAUUUAUUCCACUUGCCUAAGUGAAAAAGCCACCAGGUUCCAGGGAAUCGUCUCAUCAAAAGGUUUGAACAAACCCCUUUAAAAGAAAAUGCAAGCUUCUUUCAUUUUCCCCCUGUUUGACUAUUAUCGUUCUUGUACUUUGGCUUGCCUCUUUAGUUACUUUGUUCUAUAUUACAGCUCUCACUCUCUAUUAUUAUCUAGAUUACCAGGGAGUUCUCCUCCGACUGGAAUACUACAUUUGCAAUGGUUGUUCUACACUUUACAUGUCGAUGGUAGUAUAUGAAACCUGCUUUGAAAUAGGGACAUUGUAGAAUAUAGGGGCAACGUAGACUUGCUGGGUGACCCCAACCAGUUAAACCAAGUAGUUUUUGUGGUGUGCUGGUCUGAUGAAUAUAUUAGUUGUAUCCUGAUGGGAUUUAAAAUUAGAUUACAAGAUGAUUAUUGAACGUCUCAAGUUGGUCCAAACUUCAAGAAGUGAUGAUUCACUAUUUAUCAGUUGGAAAUCACUAUUCUUUUCUCAUAAUGUUUUUUAUUAGAAGAUUGUGAAACGUAUGCAAUUAUCAUUGGUGAGGUGCUCAUUAGUGUCGUAUGAUGAAGGACUAGCUAUGUAGAGAAGGAAUUAGUGUGGAUAACUUUAUAUUUAUUAUGAACACAAUACUAGAAAGAAAAAGGUAGUAUGCACCGAGACUCUCCUUAUAACAUAGAUUUUGUGUGGUCUUUUUGUGUGCUAAGUUUUAUGUUGUGUAGUCAAACACAUGAGUUGGGGUUGGCCCACUCCUACUGAUUUUAGUUUAU